UGCAGAGUGAUAACCUCCCAUUCCCUGUAC
rnacentral:sRNA from 1 species